AACGUAGGUGACGAGCGUUAUCCGGAAUUACUGGGCGUAAAGCGCGUGCAGGCGGCUCAGCAAGUCGGGCAUGAAAUCUCCUAGCCUAACUGGGAGACGCUGUCCGAUACUGUUGGGCUUGAGGGCAGUAGAGGGUGGUGGAAUUCCGCAUGUAGUGGUGAAAUGCGUAGAUAUGCGGAGGAACACCAGUGGCGAAAGCGGCCACCUGGACUGCACCUGACGCUGAAGCGCGAAAGCUAGGGGAGCAAACGGG
rnacentral:rRNA from 1 species